rnacentral:rRNA from 1 species
AUUGAACGCUGGCGGCAUGCUUUACACAUGCAAGUCGAACGGCAGCGCGGGCUUCGGCCUGGCGGCGAGUGGCGAACGGGUGAGUAAUGCAUCGGAACGUGCCCAGUAGUGGGGGAUAGCCCGGCGAAAGCCGGAUUAAUACCGCAUACGACCUGAGGGUGAAAGCGGGGGACCGAAAGGCCUCGCGCUAUUGGAGCGGGCGAUGUCGGAUUAGCUAGUUGGUGGGGUAAAGGCUUACCAAGGCGACGAUCCGUAGCUGGUCUGAGAGGACGACCAGCCACACUGGGACUGAGACACGGCCCAGACUCCUACGGGAGGCAGCAGUGGGGAAUUUUGGACAAUGGGGGCAACCCUGAUCCAGCCAUGCCGCGUGCGGGAAGAAGGCCUUCGGGUUGGAAACCGCUUUUGUUCGGGAAGAAAUCCUCUGGGCUAAUACCCCGGGGGGAUGACGGUACCGGAAGAAUAAGCACCGGCUAACUACGUG